UUCCCGAGUGCUAGUUCAGAAAGCUACAUCAAAGCCUGCAGAAAUUUAUGUAAACUGUGAGGUAGCAGCAAGUGUGAAGAGCAGACCUGGGUUACUGCAUGCAAAAGCAUCCAUAUUUCCACAUUCAUUUUGCUGAAAUGCAGAUUGCUGUUGGAGACAGAAUCACAGCCUCGGGCAGUAUCAGCACACCCCUUCCAGGAUCAAGCAAAAGAGACUCAUCAAAUUGCAAAAUGGACAGACCUGUUGUGUUCCAAGACAUCAGCAAUUACUCCCAAAACAUUUCCAAACCCCAAAAUGAACAGAUGAGCGAUUUAUAGAUUUUAUUAUAUGUACAAGACCUGAUUCUCAUCUCAGUUGGUAUGAAGAAAGUUUUAAUGACAGAGAAUUUGAUCACAAGAGAGCUUCAUUCUUCAUUCAUGCUGUGCUAAUUUUGGGAAUGGUAGGGCUGAUCCAAUAAAAGUUCACUGUAUCGACAUCACGAUAAAACUGAGGUCAUCAUUUGACCCCUUCACUGUAAUAAGGGUGGUAAACCCCUUGCCAAAAAGCCCUGUUAAAAUAAACCUUAGAAUGGAGAAAUAUUUAUAGCAAUAGAAUGAAAUAAUGCAACAGUCUUAAUAAGGAUUUUACCACAAGGUGUUCAAUUAACAAUUUAAUAGUGUCACUUGCUAUAAUUUGCUUUGAACGCUGGACAUGAGGCUAAAAGUAGAAGGCAAAAGAUCAAAUUUCUUAGGGUUCAUGGUCUUUUAUAACUGCUGGAUUCUUCAAGGGAUGGUCAGGCAUAUUUCAUGCUGCACUUUAUGCCUCAGUUUCCAUAUGUGUAAUCUGAGAUGAAUAACAAAUAGUUUGUUAGAAAUAGUUCAAGGCCUCUUCAUCAUCUACAAAAUUAAUUUUGUAUUGUUAU